UGUGCCUACGGUCUGAGAAAUGUGUUGUGAACAGAAUUAGUAGUAAAAAAGUAUUAAAUUAAAACGACAUGCAAGCUGCGGUAGUUUCCCACGCAUCUCAUUCUGUUCGUCUUCAUAUGUCCUGAACUAUUUUUGUAGGCUGCAUCAGACAACAAAAAGCUGGCAAGGUGUAAGCAAGGGGCCGGUGAAUAGCGGCUAAUUCGGCGAGCGGGGGCUGGCGUGACCUCUGGCGGGUGAUGCGCCAUCGAUCUGCGGCCGCCGCCGCGCUCGGAACGCCCAGCACUCGCCGGCUCCGCUUCAAAACACUGGCGCCGAAAACAACAACAGCGUCACAGGAGCCCCACUGGAGCGGGGAAAUGUCUCGCUCAUGUGGCUGAGUGGCGAUGCAGUCAAAUGAGGCAAGCUGACACAGACUCGUGUGACAUUAUAGCGGUCAUCACUGUAAGCUACUGGUAUGGCAUACAGUUGGUUGGUUUACACAGAUGUUGAAGCCGCGCUCUACUGCAGUUGCCAUUUCUUUUAUAUCUCUAGAAAAAAGGUUCAUUAUCGAAUUUACGAACGUGUUUGCACUAUUUGCUUCAGUAUUCUUGCAGCUCGUACAAAUCAAGUUCUACAAUUUACUAUGAACGCCCAAAAUUCUUUAAUAAACCCUUUCAUAAACCAC